rnacentral:rRNA from 1 species
GGUAACACCGGCUACGGAUGGCCAUGCGGCGCAUUAGCUAGUUGGCGGGGUAACGGCCCACCAAGGCGACGAUGCGUAGGGGUUCUGAGAGGAAGGUCCCCCACACUGGUACUGAGACACGGACCAGACUCCUACGGGAGGCAGCAGUGAGGAAUAUUGGUCAAUGGGCGCGAGCCUGAACCAGCCAAGUCGCGUGAGGGAAGACGGUCCUAUGGAUUGUAAACCUCUUUUGUCGGGGAGCAAAAGACGCCACGUGUGGCGUUCCGAGAGUACCCGAAGAAAAAGCAUCGGCUAACUCCGUGCCAGCAGCCGCGGUAAUACGGAGGAUGCGAGCGUUAUCCGGAUUUAUUGGGUUUAAAGGGUGCGCAGGCGGAAGAUCAAGUCAGCGGUAAAAUUGAGAGGCUCAACCUCUUCGAGCCGUUGAAACUGGUUUUCUUGAGUGAGCGAGAAGUAUGCGGAAUGCGUGGUGUAGCGGUGAAAUGCAUAGAUAUCACGCAGAACUCCGAUUGCGAAGGCAGCAUACCGGCGCUCAACUGACGCUCAUGCACGAAAGUGUGGGUAUCGAACAGGAUUAGAUACCCUGGUAGUCCACACAGUAAACGAUGAAUACUAAUUGUUCGGGGAGAAUGAUCCCUGA